AGUCAACUGACCUCUAUUUUUAAAAUAGACAACAUAUGAGUUUGUUCUACUCUUUUUUCUUGGUUAUUUUUUGGGGGGUCCUUGUAUCUCAUUUUAAAGUAUAAAAAUAUAUAUUUUUUAAAGGGAACGGAGAAAACAUGUGUUUAAUAAGAUCUCAAAUUUAUCUUGUUUAUUAAUAAACAUUUCCAAAAUAAAUUCUAGUGACUAGCAAAAGAAAUAAGGCAAUUUUUAAUUUUUAAAUAUCCACUUACAUAUCAGAGGUUCUAUAGGUAACAGAAAGUUAAGAAAUAUUCUACCAUUUGCUAUCAACUCCCAGAUUGGAAAAUAAAUCUACUUCCGGAUAUUGUUCCCAACUGGGAAACUCUUCUGCACUACAUAGUUCUGUACAAGAUUUGUGAAAAUUUUGUUAACAUUUCUACCAGACUAGCAUAUCUACUGAAAUAGCACUUAUUACUUUAUCCUUUUCAUGAUGAUCAUCUCAAACUAUUGGUGAAAACUUGUUUUUUCUUGAUUAUAAAUUUCUAAAGGGUAAUAUUCUUAUCUUGUUUGGCCUCAGCAUGUAGCCUCAGUGUUAUGGUUUCUAUAUGAGGUGUCCUCCCAAAUGUCCUGGCUAAUGCAUUCAUUAAAAUAAGUUAGGUUCAUUAAAUCCAUAAAUUCAUAAGAUUAUGAGAACUGCAACCUAAUUAGUACAGCCUAGUUUAAAUUGACUAACAGGGUGGUAACUGUAGGCAGAUGGGAUGUGGCUAGAAAAGGUCACUCACUAGGGGCGUGUCCUAGAAAGAGUCACUUUCCAUUUGGCCAUUUCCAUUCUUUCUCUCCUUUCUGGAUGCCAUGAAUAAAAUAGUGCUACUCUGCCACAUCUUUCUACCAUGAUGUUCUCCCUCACCCUGGGUGGAGAGCAAUAUAGAAGGCCAACCAUGAAAUGAAUCUCUGAAACUGUGAGCCAAAAUAAACUUUUUCUUCUCUAAGUUGUUCUUGUCAGGUGUUUUGUUCACAGUAAUGAAAAACUGACUAACACACUGAAUAACCUGGCAAGUGGCACACAAUAAUUAUUUGUUGAAUAAAUAGUUUAUGUUUCCUGCAUCCAUUUAGUAAUUCAUUUAUCAUGCCAAUUCUUUUUUUAAUCCUAUUUUAAAGAUGAUUUAAAGUUUAUGAAUUGAG
rnacentral:lncRNA from 1 species